CAGCCGCCGCGGUAAUACGUAGGGUGCGAGCGUUAAUCGGAAUUACUGGGCGUAAAGCGUGCGCAGGCGGCUUUUUAAGCCAGAUGUGAAAUCCCCGGGCUUAACCUGGGAACUGCAUUUGGAACUGGAAGGCUAGAGUGUAGCAGAGGGGGGUAGAAUUCCACGUGUAGCAGUGAAAUGCGUAGAGAUGUGGAGGAAUACCGAUGGCGAAGGCAGCCCCCUGGGCUAACACUGACGCUCAUGCACGAAAGCGUGGGGAGCAAACAGGAUUAGAUACCCUGGUAGUCCUAGCCGUAAACGAUGGACACUAGUUGCUGGAGGAGUCAAUCUUUUCAGUGACGAAGCUAACGCAUUAAGUGUCCCGCCUGGGGAGUACGCCCGCAAGGGUGAAACUCAAAGGAUUGACGGGGCCCGCACAAGCGGUGAGCAUGUGCUUUAAUUCGAUGCAACGCGAAGAACCCUACCUGAUACUACAUGGGGUGAAAGCUUUCAGAAAUGAGAGACCUUCCGCAAGGAACACCCCACACAGGUGCUGCAUGGUUGUCGUCAGCUCGUGUCGUGAGAUGUUGGGUUAAGUCCCGCAACGAGCGCAACCCUCGCCCUUAGUUGCCAUCAGGUUAUGCUGGGAACUCUAAGGGGACUGCCUGGUUUAACCAGGAGGAAGGUGGGGAUGACGUCAAAUCCUCAUGGCCCUUACGUCCAGGGCUAGACACGUGCUACAAUGGCAGAUACAGCGGGAUGCAAGCUGGUGACAGCAAGCUAAUCCCUUAAAAUCUGUCUCAGUUCGGAUUGAAGUCUGCAAUUCGACUUCAUGAAGCUGGAAUCGCUAGUAAUCGCGGAUCAGCAUGCCGCGGUGAAUACGUUCCCGGGCCUUGUACACACCGCCCGUCAAGCCAUGAAAGAUGGCAGUACCCG
rnacentral:rRNA from 1 species